rnacentral:rRNA from 1 species
GAUGAACGCUGGCGGCGUGCCUAAUACAUGCAAGUCGAGCGAACGGACGAGAAGCUUGCUUCUCUGAUGUUAGCGGCGGACGGGUGAGUAACACGUGGAUAACCUACCUAUAAGACUGGGAUAACUUCGGGAAACCGGAGCUAAUACCGGAUAAUAUUUUGAACCGCAUGGUUCAAAAGUGAAAGACGGUCUUGCUGUCACUUAUAGAUGGAUCCGCGCUGCAUUAGCUAGUUGGUAAGGUAACGGCUUACCAAGGCAACGAUGCAUAGCCGACCUGAGAGGGUGAUCGGCCACACUGGAACUGAGACACGGUCCAGACUCCUACGGGAGGCAGCAGUAGGGAAUCUUCCGCAAUGGGCGAAAGCCUGACGGAGCAACGCCGCGUGAGUGAUGAAGGUCUUCGGAUCGUAAAACUCUGUUAUUAGGGAAGAACAUAUGUGUAAGUAACUGUGCGCAUCUUGACGGUACCUAAUCAGAAAGCCACGGCUAACUACGUGCCAGCAGCCGCGGUAAUACGUAGGUGGCAAGCGUUAUCCGGAAUUAUUGGGCGUAAAGCGCGCGUAGGCGGUUUUUUAAGUCUGAUGUGAAAGCCCACGGCUCAACCGUGGAGGGUCAUUGGAAACUGGAAAACUUGAGUGCAGAAGAGGAAAGUGGAAUUCCAUGUGUAGCGGUGAAAUGCGCAGAGAUAUGGAGGAACACCAGUGGCGAAGGCGACUUUCUGGUCUGUAACUGACGCUGAUGUGCGAAAGCGUGGGGAUCAAACAGGAUUAGAUACCCUGGUAGUCCACGCCGUAAACGAUGAGUGCUAAGUGUUAGGGGGUUUCCGCCCCUUAGUGCUGCAGCUAACGCAUUAAGCACUCCGCCUGGGGAGUACGACCGCAAGGUUGAAACUCAAAGGAAUUGACGGGGACCCGCACAAGCGGUGGAGCAUGUGGUUUAAUUCGAAGCAACGCGAAGAACCUUACCAAAUCUUGACAUCCUUUGACAACUCUAGAGAUAGAGCCUUCCCCUUCGGGGGACAAAGUGACAGGUGGUGCAUGGUUGUCGUCAGCUCGUGUCGUGAGAUGUUGGGUUAAGUCCCGCAACGAGCGCAACCCUUAAGCUUAGUUGCCAUCAUUAAGUUGGGCACUCUAAGUUGACUGCCGGUGACAAACCGGAGGAAGGUGGGGAUGACGUCAAAUCAUCAUGCCCCUUAUGAUUUGGGCUACACACGUGCUACAAUGGACAAUACAAAGGGCAGCGAAACCGCGAGGUCAAGCAAAUCCCAUAAAGUUGUUCUCAGUUCGGAUUGUAGUCUGCAACUCGACUACAUGAAGCUGGAAUCGCUAGUAAUCGUAGAUCAGCAUGCUACGGUGAAUACGUUCCCGGGUCU